GACGAACGCUGGCGGCGUGCCUAAUACAUGCAAGUCGAGCGCAGGAAGCCGUCUGAACCCUUCGGGGGGACGACGGUGGAAUGAGCGGCGGACGGGUGAGUAACACGUAAAGAACCUGCCCAUAGGUUUGGGAUAACCACGAGAAAUCGGGGCUAAUACCGGAUGUGUCAUCGGACCGCAUGGUCCGCUGAUGAAAGGCGCUCCGGCGUCGCCCAUGGAUGGCUUUGCGGUGCAUUAGCUAGUUGGUGGGGUAACGGCCCACCAAGGCGACGAUGAGUAGCCGAGCUGAGAGGGUGGACGGCCACACUGGGACUGAGACACGGCACAGACUCCUACGGGAGGCAGCAGUAGGGAAUCUUCCACAAUGGACGAAAGUCUGAUGGAGCAACGCCGCGUGAACGAUGAAGGCUUUCGGGUCGUAAAGUUCUGUUGUAAGGGAAGAACAAGUGCCGCAGGCAAUGGCGGCACCUUGACGGUACCUUGCGAGAAAGCCACGGCUAACUACGUGCCAGCCGCCGCAGUAA
rnacentral:rRNA from 1 species